AUAUGCAACUGUUGGAAUUUAAUUGAUUUAAAAUUGUUUUAAUUGGGCAUUAUUAGCAACAAAUACAAAUCAAAAUUGAAUUACUUUGAAAAUUCCAAAUUAUGAGUUGCACCAGAUAAGUUAUCUAUUGUAGAAUACAGGAGUGGACGCUUUAUCUAAUUUAAAAUCAACAAUUCAACAGUGUCUCUUUGUUAGCCCAAACUUCAUACCACAGUUCAUGAUGCACUGUUCUGGCAGUUAUUUUCUGCUACUUUUCCUUUUUUUUUUUUUUUUUUUUUUUUUUUUUUUUGCUUUUUUUGGUGCCCUAGUUGCUAGAAAAUUACUUUCUCUUUUUGUUUUAACAUGAAUAUAUGAGUAAAACUAUUCAAAAACCUUUUAGUGAAGCUGGUUUACAGUACUAGAAAGAACACAAAGAAGCAAAUGAUGCAUCAUUUACUCUAAUUUAUUCAUUUAAAUACAUAUUUACAAAUGGCUAAAUGUUGUGACACUUAGUGAAAUGUAAGCUUGCAGUGCAGCUCAUGUGCAUCUACGUGUUUCCUGCAAUUCAUCCAGCUGUUCAAGGAGAGCGUCUUUUUCCAGUUCUAACAAGGAGAUCUGACGAUUUUUGUCACUCACUUUCUGUUUAAAAAAAAAGACACAAAUGGCAAAAGGUAACAUGACAAUAUUGUGCAAGUACAAACAGACGAAUCAUGAGAAAAUCAUUGGAAAAGUCUGACUGAGGGAAGCCAUACAAACAACUGUUAAGCACUAGUUUAACAUUACAUCAAAAAUAGUCAUUUUUCUUGACUAUUUAACAUCUUUCACAAACUAUUUUCCUUACCUGAGUUAGUACUGAGUUGUGCCAGCGGAGGUCGCUGUCUGCCACAGCUUCAGGCAGAGAAGGGUUGCUGCUGCUCAUUGCAUUGGGUUCACUCAUCACGGAGCCCAAAGAUCCGUUAACCCGCUGGAUACGAGACCUGAGGAGGCAGGACCGAGUCUGUGGAGAAUCAGAACCAGGACAGUCAGGGAGAAUAGAGACACCUGAAGUUACACCAGACAGGAACCAAGCCCACUUUUGGCCUCGAUUCUGCUCUGCCGGAACUUGUUCUCCUCCAGCCGCUGGAGGUACCAGAGACGAGCCUUCUCCAGAACCUCCAGACCAGAACACAGAGCGUCCUUCUCCUUCUCUAGGUCCUUCAGACGCUUAAUCUGAAACGAGAAGUAGCAAGAUUAGCUUUUUACUCUACAGAGUUUUAUGAUAUAGCUAGUUUAGUCAUGUAUAUAAAUCUCCGUGAGUCUUUUGCUGGAACCAGGGGGUUGGACUAACAAGCUCAACCACCAGUCUGAUGUAAAGCCGUGUGAUCGGCACAGCGCUGCCUGUUGUCUUCCAGAGGCCCCAAGGCUUUGUGUAGCAGCAGAGCUAAACUAUCGAGCAGCAGGAGGCCUGUAGCUCUUUUGUCUACACUCAGCUGGAUUACAUGCACUUUAAAUGUGCUCAAACAAAGAAAACGGUGCUACAAACACCAGGAUAUCAUGAUAUAUAAUGCUGCUGAUUCACCUAAUGGACCAUGAGUUCAGGACAUUAGAGCCGCUAAUGAUUUACACUGAA
ensembl:lncRNA